rnacentral:lncRNA from 1 species
GUGCUAUUCGUCAGAUUGGGGGACCAAAAUGAAACUAUGAGUCUGAAGUCUGUAAAAGUAUCAUGCUGUUUUGAUCUUAUGGAAAAACCCAUUAACGGUGUCCUACCUUUGACCCGCACUCAUUACUCUUUAGCCUUAAGCGUGAGAUGCUGGGUACUAACUCAUCGGAGUUGGACUACUUCUCUUAUGAUUCGAUGGGCGCAGAGGCACCUGAUUUAGGAAUUGGGGGAUAAAUAAGAUUGAUGAUUCCGCGAGCUUCCCAGACUCAUAACAGACGGCUAGGAACAAGAAGAGGGUAAGUAGUCUCCGCCGUUGCUGGUCCUUCUCCUGUAGCUGAGACUGCCCUAUU